rnacentral:misc_RNA from 1 species
GAUGAUGAACGCAGCGAAAUGCGAUAAGUAAUGUGAAUUGCAGAGUUCAGUGAAUCAUCGAAUCUUUGAACGCACAUUGCGCCCGCCAGUAUUCUGGCGGGCAUGCCUGUCUGAGCGUCAUUUCAACCCUCAUGCCCCUAGGGCGUGGUGUUGGGGAUCGGCCAAAGCCCGCGAGGGACGGCCGGCCCCUAAAUCUAGUGGCGGACCCGUCGUGGCCUCCUCUGCGAAGUAGUGAUAUUCCGCAUCGGAGAGCGAUGAGCCCCUGCCGUUAAACCCCCAACUUUCCAAGGUUGACCUCAGAUCAGGUAGGAAUACCCGCUGAACUUAAGCAUAUCAAUAAGCGGAGGA